UUUCCCUCAGGAUAGCUGGCACUCGCUUGAGCGAGUCUCAUCUGGUAAAGCGAAUGAUUAGAGGCCUUGGGGCCGAAACGACCUCAACCUAUUCUCAAACUUUAAAUGGGUGAGAUCUCUGGCUUGCUUGAACGUUGAAGCCAAGAGAUGCAUUUAAUGCAAUGGAUCAGAGUGCCAAGUGGGCCAAUUUUGGUAAGCAGAACUGGCGCUGUGGGA
rnacentral:rRNA from 2 species